AGUCCUAAAUCCCAUCCCCCAUGUCCUCCUGCACAGGCACCUGGUCUGUCCCAGGUUGAGCCAAGCUGGGAUCUGAAUGCAACAUCUGCAUGAGAAAGAGCUGCAAGCAUUGCAGAAUUCAGGUCAGACUUAGCCAGUAACCUGACCAAAAACCAACCAGUUUAAUAAGGCCUCUCCAAGCGGCUCUUUAACAAAAAUAGCCAACUGCAUGUUUGCAGGGAGAACAAGACUUGACUCUGUGACAAGUCCUUGGAAAAGCAUCUGUGACUGCAGUGAAUCAUCAGUGCUGUGUUGCUACAAAAGGACAAAUAUUCCCUGUGAUGUGUACAUACAAGUGUGAGCUGUGCUGUGGGGCUGCUGCUCCACUCCAGGGCAGCGUGUGGUGGGAUGGCUGCCUUCAUGGACAGGCAGACAACAGCCUGAGAGCACCGAGAGCCACUCAGACAUGAGGAAGGUCAGACAGCAGGCCAGCCUAAAGCCCAAGGAGACAGAGUGCUACUGGGACACAAGGAUUGCUCAGGAGAAGGAGCAAAGAGCUGAAGGUUUCUCCCCCAGGAAGGAGCCCUGUGUUCCUGGGUGCGUUCAGCCUCAGCCAUCUGACACUGCCUGGCUCCUGCAGCCCUCCUCAUGGGCUGCCAUCAUCCCCAGCUCUCCUUCCCCUCCCUCUCUUCACAGAGCAGGAACAACAACAGAUUCAAACACUUGACAUAAACUUGCAGUUCUAACCCAUUUCUUGGUGGGAUCGGAUUUUGAAGGGCUAUAAUUAUCAGCAAUGCUCCCGUAUUGGAGCUAUGAAUAAGCCAAAGGGCUCUAUUGUUUCUACAGCUUGAAAUAAACCCCAGCUUCCACUUCCUUUGAGUCUGCCAGGCUUUUCUCACCUUCAGAAGUGCUAAAAAUAAUUUACCCAAGGUGUUAUAAAAAAAGUUAUAUAUGUAUAUAUAUAUGGAUAUUAUUUCCUGUUCUAUUUCAGCAGUAAUCUCUUUGGUAAGGUUAUCGUCAGUGACUCAAAUAACUUUGCCUUCAAACAAAAGUUAUUGCUUAGCCCAAAGGCCAAGUGAGCACCUUCUGGAAUCAGAUCCACUCUGCCUCUUCGGAGCACAUAUGAGAAAAGUUGAAUAAAUACAAGUCUAAUACAGUUUGAUAGUCAUUUUCAUAUGAUCUGACACUGCAUAUUAAUGAGCUGGAAACACCAGCUAGGAUUUUAUUAGUGAUACGCAACGCGAUGGAAAGUGCAGCAAGAACAGCAGAGCAGCAAAGCCCCAGGCUGCAGCAAGAGAUGGCUUGCUCCAAUGCAAUAGCUGUAGGAACAGAAAAAAGAAAAGAAGCUGCUUACCCUUGGAAGGCCUCAGAUAGGCAGGGAUAUCCAGUGAGAUGCCCUCAUCUCCACUAGCAGCCCUUAAAAGAUGACUGGGAAGAGAUGAAUCCUGGCUCCAGCCCUUCCAGUCAUUCAGGUGCCUUGCGCUGCAUUGCAUUGCAUUGCAUGCACCUGAGCUCCCCUGGGCUAGCCCUGCCUUCUCACCAGGUGCUCCAUCACUGCUUCAAGCCCUGACUUAGCAUUUCUGCUAUAGUGAUACAAGGCCAAUUUAAUAAAAAUAGUCCAUCAAACAAUGACAAUUCUAUCUAUCUCCACAUUCCAGCAGAAGCUGGGGCUAGCAAACCACAGCCUGUGAUGCAGGCAUGGCACAAUGCCGGACCACUCGCAUACAAUUGCAUUGUACUGCAACAAGAAUGAGAACAGUGUGAUCAGGCUGAUGGGUGGCAAUUCAGUUCAGUGCUGGGCAGCUCUGGGCCAUUGGCACCCCAGGGUUCCUGGCCUUGUGCUCACUGCAGUGCAAGAGAGAAAGGAAAAAGGAGGCAUCACGAGGAGAAAUACUGGUUUCGCUAUCAAGGCAUUCCUGUGGAUGCCUGAAUCCUGGUGAACUUCCUGGCUAAAAAGCAGAACUCCUCGAAUUGAGAAUUGGACUGAUUAUUUUGGAAUGUCUUGAUACGGACUCAUGCAAACAGAAUAGCAAGACAUAAAGCAGCCUAGCAGCAGAAAAAUAAUUGAAUAGCACCAGUGAGCUCAGCAAAGGCACCAAACGCAGCUUGGGUUUGACUCUGCUACAAGAAAGAUGGUUGGACUGGGAUGAUUUUUAAUUACGGUGUAUUUUCAGCUGUCAUCCAGAAGACAGAUGUGCAGCUCCCAGAAUGUCAUUAUUGCCUCUGAUUUGGGGAACAAUGCUGCUUUUGGUGCUUAUGCAUGCAAAACCUCACAUUCCGAGUUAAGUAAGAAGCGGUGCUUCUGUUGAGAAUGAUGAAAUCACUUUCAGAUCAGUUCUGUAAAUGAGCCAUCUACUAAAGCCCUCUGUUAAUUGAAAAUCCUUCCUUGUAACUGAUACCAGAACUAAUUCCAUCGAGCCUAUUUAUGCACAAUCUUAAUACACCAGGCAAUUAUAGGCCCCAUUUACUGUAGCCCUGUGUGACGUAUACAGCUACGUAACCCUGGAGCACAGUGACUAAAUAUGGAUAUCACAUUUGUUUCCCAAAUUUUGCUUGUAGAAAGAUGACUUUUUGUUUGCCUGGAGCACAAAGUACACGCUGUCUCUGAAGCACAUAUCGAUGCUAAUUCUUCUAGUUAUUAUCUUUCUGUUUGAAACUUUCCCCUUCGUUUGUUCUGUGAUGGCACAAGGCUGUGGUUUGCCAUCAGCAGUGCUGGGAGUGCACAUCCCCGUGUCACCUGUGACACAGCCAUGGUAAAAAAACCAAAAGGAUUUUUGAGUCCAGCCCAUUUUGUUUUAAAUGGAAGAUGUGGAAUAACAACAACUGUAGAAGCAGAGUGGGAUGGCGAUAGAAAGGGAUCAUUCAAAGGGAACAAAUUAGUCACAGUUUCCUGCUGUUGUGCAGUGUUCUGCUCAUGGUGCUGGUUUCAGUGUGUAAGGAUGGGACUGCCCUCCUAGCCAUGUGUCUGCAGCACACAGCUGGCCUCAGCUUUAUCAUCUGUAGUGAAAAUAACCAAUGAAAGCAAUCAUUACCUUAGUUUAAGGUGCCUCAUCCCUGCAGGCAUUCAAGGCCAGGCUGGAUGUGGCUCUGGGCAGCCUGGUCUGCUGCUGGGUGACCCUGCACACAGCAGGGGGUUGGAACCAGAUGAGCACUGUGGGCCUUUUGAACCCAGGCCAUUCUGUGAUUCUAUGAUAUGACUCUAUGAAAUAGGAAAGAAUACACUGAGGGUAUAGACCUCACAUCUAGAGCAGGCUGAUGGAGGGUUCUGCAUGGAAAUGCAGUAUUAAAUGGAGGAGAUUUGUUCAGAGUCUUCCACUGAAUGUGUCAAACGCAGCUUUGGAGAAGAUUAUACUGAGACAACAACCAAAAAAAAAGCACUGGGGAAAGCACUGGCGCAAGCAAAGCAGCUGCCUCUCGCUACUCCCCACACCUGCACUAUGAUCCCUGAUGUGGGGCACCCAGCUCCCAUCCACACAAGGUCUGGAAAGGUUUCCAGUUCAGCCUGGCCAAGAGCCGCUGCUGCCCGUAUCAGAUAACCACGCUCACAUCAUGCCAGGCGGGCGGCUGCUGGGUUGGCUGCAAGGGAUCGAGUUUGAAGAAUUGGCUCAGCUCAGAAGAGUGAUGUUCUGACAGCAGCUGUGGGGUUACAAAGCCAAGACACAGACGUACGAGUUGUUCCAGAAAUAACACCUCUGGUGUGCACUACCAGGUACUCACACUUGGAAUUCUGACAGCCUACAAUAACUGCUUCCCUGACAAUGUUCCCUUCAUUUGUAAGUGUCACAUUUAAGAAAAGUAAAAGCAUUUUAAUGCGACAGAAAAACUUGGCAUGAGAGCUAAUUACUUUAAUUCGAUAGAUUUCUCUUUGGCUCAUCUGCAUACUUGACAAUUAUUUAUGACUUCCAUCAGCAAUUAAGGGCUGAGUCUUACACUGAAAUAUUGUAAAUAGCUCUGAAGACUUUUGCUGAUCCUUCUAACUUUCCUUCAGAGGAGAUGAAUUUAUUAUUAGAAGAUAAUAUGUAAAAUAUUUGUACUUCUGACCUCCUGUAAAACAUCCCUCCUGCAUUUUAAAUGAUUGGUUGUCAGCAUUGCUUUCCUCGAAAUGAAGCGAGACGCUGUAAAUAAGAGCUUGAAUUAAGCAGUGUAUUAAAUCUACGCAUUCGGUGGCAACCUUUGAUACUCCUCAUAUAUCUCCGUUGGUUCUGCUGCAUUCAGCUUUGCCAUAUAACAUUGUGAAUUAUAACUUUUUUACACUGAACUUUGCAGUUUCUGGCCAAUUUGAACAUCAUUCUUCAGCUCUUGACAAAGGAUAUUAUGUUAGCAGGUUAGCGCGUGGUUUCUUGCCUUUUUGGUGGCUUCGUAUAGGAAAGGGACUUUUUUUGCUGGAGGAGCUGACAAGCUUUGAGCAGAUCCUCCACGGGGGAAACUGUCAGAUGGUUUCCCAGUGUUUGUUUUCAGUCCAGCUAUUCUGCUGGAUUUCUCAAGAACUUCCCUGCCAUUUCUCCUGGCCGUCUUUCCUCACCAUGCCCUGGUUAUACAGGCACAUUAAAAACCUGUUGAACUCAUGGCAGCCUGCUGGAGCACAGCUAUUGACAGUCUAUUCAUCACCAGUAGCACUCUCACAGAGCCAUAGUGGUCACAAGGGACCUCAAAUGCUGCGACAGAUGAAAGAAGUUGUAAAGCCAAAGUGUUUAAACCCUAAUUCUACAAGAGUUUGAACACAGCUCUACCUCCAGCGACAAUUGACCAGAUCAGUAUUAUCUCCUGAGUGCAUCCUGUCUGUCAGUACUGCUUAAUCUUCUUUGUAAUGAGGAUACCUUAAGUAGAAGGACACUGGAUAAGUCAUAUACAUAAAAGAGAUCUACAGCUUGCUGGCAUGUGAAAUUCUUCUAAUACGUAUUUUUAUGGAACUACCGGCACAUUAUGUGCUUGGCAGCAUAAAUAAAAGAACGUGUUACCCUGGCAAUUUCACAUUUACUACAUUAGUUAGUAAAUGCAACGGCCACCCGUACUCUCCUACAAUAAAAACUGCUGAGCCUUUUCAUGAAAGAUGAUUGCAAUUUCCACCGGUCUGUAUAUGCAAUAAAGAACCAUAACUCAUCAAAAGUUGAGCUAUUUGCUCUUAAGAUAGAAGGCCAUUUUUCUCAAGCACUUGACACCGCAUUAACUAUUCAUGAAAGUUGAGUGUUCAAACACCGCCUAAGUAAAAUUGUUUCUACUUUUCAACUUGAUUGAGGUCUUUUCUGAGCAAGACUACACAGCAGCCAGCAAAAGGACUCGUAACGCAUGAGAAAUGCGGAGACUGUCCAGGUACUGCAGCUGUGAGCUAUUGAUCUGCUGGAAAGCCUGGUUCCUCCUCCAGAAUUGAUUCAUGAUAACUGCCUCCAUUUGGGUCAAACAGUAUUUAACCGCUUGUAAAUUUUAAUUAAAUGAUUUGUCACUUUGAA